GUAUUUAUUAUUAUUAUUAUUUAAACUUUCUAGAUAACCUUACCCAACGGUCGCAUUGAACUUUUAUUUAAUUUUUAGUUGUCUCCAUUUUCAAAUGGCAGUGGAAGUCCAAGCCUGGAGUUGCUUACUCCACUGGAAGCUGUUGCUGUGCACAUGAGCGUAACUUCAACAAAAUUCACCCCAUUCAUCAAGUAACCUGCCUCUCUUUACUCUCAACUACAAAAAUCUUGAGGAUCAAAACUCCGGUAUCUCCGUGAGGAGUCCAAAUAAGCUCCGUGGAUUCGGAGUAGUUAUCCUCUUGAGGAAGAUGGUGAUCGACCUCAUCAUGUUCAGCCCAACGUUGAUGUGGGGUACACAUGUAUAGUAGAUUUCAAAAUACACCAAAAAUACCGUAAGAAGGUGUUUGGCGCAGGGUAUUAGAUGGGAUUAGGUGGGAUAUAAUUGCAUUUUGUCUCGUGCAAUUCCAUCCAGCAUUUGGAGAGCAUAAGAAAGGUUGGGAUUAGGUGGAAUAGAAUUGCAUUUAGUCCCAUGGAAUCGCAUUUGGUUCUUUGCAAGAUUUUCAUGGAUUUUGAAAUCUACUACACGUGGGCCCUACAUUGAUGUAUAUGUUUAUCCAUGUUGACCAUCCAUAUACACUAUUUACACAUGACAAUAUGGUUAUAUAUGUGUACAAGUGAACGACAUCCGUUGUGAAUUUGGUCCGUUGAUUACAAUUUCAUAAUCCAUCAAACAUGAUUUUGCUUAA